ensembl:lncRNA
UUUCUUGGACGUUUCUGUUAGAUUUUGUGUGGAAUUGAAUUGACACAUCAAUUUGAGAAGACUUGAUAUCUCUGUGCUAUUAAAACUUUCCAUCAGGGAACAUGGAAUAUCACUGAAUCUAUUCGGCAAUCACAUCACCUAUAAAUAACAAGAGGUUUGAGGUUUCCUUCUCAAGUUUGAUGCUUCUCAUUUUAAUUCUUUAUUAGUGCAGUUCAGUCGCUCAGUCAUAUCCGACUCUUUGCGACCCCAUGAAUUGCAGCACGCCAAGCCUCCCUGUCCAUCACCAACUCCUGGAGUUCACCCAAACCCAUGUCCAGCAACCUUUAGCUAUGUAAUAAUUCUGUCUCCCUGUCAAACAUUACAAGAUCUAUUAGCCUGCUUCCUACUACCAAGGAACGAUGCCUCCACCCCAUCUUUUUAUUGAGUUCACAGCUUCUAUUGUACUUUUAAAAAUUCAAAAUAAAUAGUGAUUUUUAUGUGUGCAUGUUUGUGUGUGUGCUGUUUUGUUUCUUCCUUCUGGGUUCAUUUUUCUUCUUGAGGUAAAUCAUUUAAUAGUCCCCGUUGUGAGGAUCAGUAAGUGGUAAAUACUCCAAGUUUCUGAAUGGUGAAAAUGACUUCUUUUUUGUCUUACAACUGAAAGGU